rnacentral:rRNA from 1 species
AGUGAACGCUGGCGGUAGGCCUAACACAUGCAAGUCGAACGGCAGCACAGUAAGAUCUUGCUCUUACGGGUGGCGAGUGGCGGACGGGUGAGGAAUACAUCGUAAUCUACUUUUUCGUGGGGGAUAACGUAGGGAAACUUACUCUAAUACCGCAUACGACCUACGGGUGAAAGCAGGGGAUCUUCGGACCUUGCGCGAUUGAAUGAGCCGAUGUCGGAUUAGCUAGUUGGCGGGGUAAAGACCCACCAAGUCGACGAUCCGUAGCUGGUCUGAGAGGAUGAUCAGCCACAUUGGAAGUGAAACACGGACAAUAGUACUGAGGGACGGCGCAGUGGGGUAUGUUGGACAAUAGGCGCGAGUAUGAUCCAGCCAGACGGAGUCGGAUGCGGAAGCCUUCGGGUCGUAAAGACGUUCUGCUGGGAAAGAAACGCAGCAGCCUAAGACGAAGCGGUACUGACGGUAAUCAAAGAAUAAGCACCGGCUAACUACGUG